ensembl:lncRNA
CUCAGACAGGAUGCCAGCACACACAGGAGGCCACAGGCGAAAGGCCAACCUGCUGGGCUGAAGGUGGACCAUGGGCCACGCCUGAGUGACAGGAGCCCCUCUGCAGCCAGAAGCGCCUCUGGAAAAACCCAACCCGACAGGACCGGCUCUAGAAAGGCCGCCGGGGGUCAGCCCGCUCCCUGCGGAGAGCAGGGGAGGGGAGGGUCCCGGGACCCUUCCAAGAUUUUCACAGCAUCUCAGCAGCGCGCCCAGAGCUCAGUCCAUGACCGGCUGCCCCCGGAGAAAGAAUUACGACUUGUCCGGCGCCCCGCUCCCCACACCGUUGGCCCCGGGGCCCCCUGACGACAGCCAGCUUGGGGGCUCCCGUCUGCAGGUUAGAGCCCCCCGCAGCCCCCCACCCCCGGCUCCCUCACCCCCACCGUCCUCGGACGCGAUCCCGGCUGGGCCACCCGGGGUGCCUGCGGUCUGGCUGAGCUGGCGGGCCCGAAGCACACACUGGCCCAUUGUACACAAGCCCAGACUGGCCACAGGCCAGACCCGGCCCGCGGCAGCACGGCUUUUAAAUCCCACCAUUUAUGUAUUUGGUUUGGUAGCUUUAGGUCGAUGAUGUACUUAAUUUCACCUCGAUAUUGAGUUUGAAUGAACUGAAAGGAAAACACAAAUAUAUAAAACAAUGGCUGGCCGGCUCCAGGCGGGGGACAGGUGUUUCCUAUCUGGAUAUCCCUCUGUAUUUGCUCCAUCCGCUUCCCCUGGGAGCGGGGUGGGCCCCGAAGCAGUUUCUUUUAAACAGUUUUGUAAUGAACGUGUAGUCGGGGCCCAGCUGGGCGCCCCUGGGGCAGCCCUCUCUUGGGCCUUUUAAACACAGCAGUUACAGGAGGGCUCACCUGUCACAUAAGUUGUCUGAACCCAGGGCUAACGAUCUGCGACAGCAUUGGCGAGGGAACUGUCUACAGAUGAGGUGAGACACCCCAAACCUCUCCCUGCCUUCCUCCCGUAACCCCAGCUACACUUGUCCUAAAGGGGGGUUUUUUAAAAGAAGUUUCGAAAGGACAGAAGAGCAGAGUAACACGAUUAGCCGGUAAGCCCACACGUUUUAGAGAAAUCGCUUUUGCUCUGGUUUGUCAGGAAAGAACGGGGCCUGUCCUCAGGCCGGUGACGGCCGUUUGCCUCAGGGGGGCCUGGGCAGUCCUCCCCGCCGCCCCAGGCCCCAGGCCUGAGCCCGCGCCAACCUUCUGGUGCGCCGGGCACCAUUCCUACGGUCAGAGUCCUUCUGGGCCUUGUCCCUCCUCAGCCACCGGGGCAGCGCCCUGGGGGUGUGACCACGAAGUCCCAGGGCACCCCGCGCUUGGGAGGGGGCCCCGCCCAUGGCGGUCAGCGCUCCGCUAUCUCGGUCCUGACACUUCACCACUCCCCCUGGGACUCUGCUUGGUGGAUGAAGUCCAGUGGGACAAAUGAGUUCACGGCCCCCCAGCCCAGCGACUGCCGGGAGGGCCCGGGGCAGGUGCCAAGUCGCAGGGUGGGCCCGGGGCUCCUGUGAGGGUCUGCACUUGCAAUAAAAGCACACGGUGACAGGUCAAGAGAGAAACCACAGGAAAAGCUUUUUUUCUGUUUUCCUACUUCUUGAACAAGGGACCCUGUGUUUUCACCUGGCACUGAGGCCUGCAGAUUAUACAGCUGGCCAAGCUCAGUGACCUGGGGUCCACUCUGGAUGUAGAGAAAACACACCUCUGUCAGGGGCACGGGCAUUGGGUCCAGAAAACGCCCUGCUGCCGACCAGCAUGUUGAAAAAGGAGGCCACAGAGCGGGGAGGAACCAAGCCAAGGACAUCAAGGCAAAGGUGAAACCAAGUUCCCCAGAAACCAAAUUUCCCUUGCCAGGUUUAUGAACCUCUCUAUCCAAAACUUUAUUCUCUUUCUUAUCCUAACCCCAUCCCCCUCAAGACUGAGGAGAAUCAGAGAAAAGUGGGGAUUGAAACAAAGCAGGACACUGCAGGGCCUUCCCAAGCACAAAAACACCUCUGUGUCCCACGUUUCUUGUUUGCAGAAAAAGGCUGUAAUCCCAAAGGUCUUCCCUGAGUUCCAAAUAGCAGACUCAAGCAGUUACUAAUUAGCGAAGUGAGGGAGUGGGGAAACAGAAAAAGCAGUUAAGCAAGAAAAGUAAUGACAGCUUAAACAACAAUCGAGUUGUAGGUCCUCCUCAUAGAAUGUGUAUAACAAUCUGAUGUGUAUCUUUGAGUUGUUCUGCAGGAACUGGGACCCCCGCCCAGGUGGGGGAUGGUGACCACAUACUCACCACAAGCAUGCAGACCCCAGACUGGCUGGAACCAGAAGACUGUUGGUCAAAAAUCCCAAAACACCACUCUGUUAGCUCACCACCAACCAAUCAGAAGAAGGGCGCGUGAGCUGCAACCCUCGUCCCAAAUGUUGCCUUUAAAACCCCUUCCCUGAAAAUCAGUGAGGGGUUGGGGCUUUCAAGCAUGAGCUGUCCAUUCUCCUUGCUUGUUGCCCUGCAAAUAAACGCUGUGCUUUUCUUCACACACCACAGUGUCAGUAAGUUGGCUUUGCUACAUGGCGAGCAAGGUUGGUUCAGUAACAGAGGGUACCAGGCCCAGGGACAAAGGUCUGAAGUGGCCUUGACAGCCCAUGGGCUGUGUGAGAACAAGCAACGGGCUCCUGCGUCACUGCAGCUUGCACAUCUCCCUGGAGAGCAUCCAGCACCACGGGGACCCCAGGCUCUCAGGGCCUGGGGACAAGUGCCAGCAUCUGGACACACAUGGGCUGGACACAGGCCCCACAGGACACAGUUACAUGAGUGUGCAUGCCACAAAAGCCUGGGAGAAAACACAUAAAACUCUUCACAGUGUUUCUCAGCAAGGCAGCGGUUGAUAAACACCCUCGGUGUAAGGAGCGGUGAAACACAGAAUCCACGCAUAUUUCUGGGAACGCGACCAGCUCCUUGUCAGUAGCCCCAGCACAGGACGUGGGUGUGCGAGUACUGGCACACGGGGGCAUACACGAACGCUCAUGGCACACACAGCCCACACCCAAUCCACACUCCGGUUUCUCACAAAGCCCAGACUGGGCUGUCUGUCACGGCCAGCAAUAGCACUGAGCGGACAGAAAAGGAGCCACAGAAGUGGCUGGGCCAGUGAACCAGCGGACCACCGGCUGUCCUGAUGGCUGACAGGGUUCACUCCUGCGCAGCAGAGCCGCGGCCUGCGGGCCGUCCACUGAGGGCGCCCCUGAAGCCGCAUCUGUCCGCAGUUUCGGUGACAUGUCCAACGGACACACGGUGUUGUCCAGGGUGGGCUGGGGAGGGGCUCGUGGCAGUCCGGGGCUUCAGGCUUGCUGGUUUAUAUAGCCCUUCCCCCUAAUUUUAAACGUAAGGAAACUGAGGCUUGUAUGAAGAGUGAGGUCCUCCAGGUGACCCCAGACCAAUCUGAGUCAGGAGAGAGCAUCACCAAAACCUGGGUCACCAGAACCACCUCCAGGGAGGCCCCCCUGCAGCAGAGAAGGGGGUCUCAGCUGGAGGGGGCACCCCAUCCCACCCACCCCCACCCCCAGCCUGAGAUGGCCAAGUGCAGAAGAGGUGAACUGAUUUUGUUUGCCCUCAGCCGUUCCACUGGCCAGUUGUAACCGUGUCACCUGGGGCUGAGUUUUACAGGGAAAAAAAUGAUCAAAGGCUCAUUCAAUACCCUUAGGCUGCCAGCUUUCUUCAGGGUAUUUUCCAUUCUCUUAGCCCCCAAAAUCACUUAAAAUGAAAAAAAAAACUAUAUGAG